GUGCUCCCUUCGGCAGCACUUAUACCAAAAUUGGAAUCAGACAGAGAAGCUUAGCAUGGCUGGGGCAAGGAUGACAUGCAAAUUCUGGAAGUGUUCCAUUUUUUU